GAUGAACGCUGGCGGCGUGCCUAAUACAUGCAAGUCGAGCGCACAGACGAGGAGCUUGCUCCUCUGACGUUAGCGGCGGACGGGUGAGUAACACGUGGAUAACCUACCUAUAAGACUGGGAUAACUUCGGGAAACCGGAGCUAAUACCGGAUAAUAUAUUGAACCGCAUGGUUCAAUAGUGAAAGACGGUUUUGCUGUCACUUAUAGAUGUAUCCGCUCCGCAUUAGCUAGUUGGUAAGGUAACGGCUUACCAAGGGGACGAUGGUAAGCCGACCUGAGGGGGUGAUCGCCCACACGGGAACUGGAACACGGUCCAGCCUCCUACGGGAGGCAGCGGUGGGGAAUCUUCCGCAUUGGGCGAAAGCCUGACGGAGCAACGCCGCGUGAGUGAUGAAGGUCUUCGGAUCGUAAAACUCUGUUAUUAGGGAAGAACAAAUGUGUAAGUAAAUAUGCACGUCUUGACGGUACCUAAUCAGAAAGCCACGGCUAACUACGUG
rnacentral:rRNA from 1 species